AACGAACGCUGGCGGCAUGCCUAACACAUGCAAGUCGAACGAGAUCUUCGGGUCUAGUGGCGCACGGGUGCGUAACGCGUGGGAAUCUGCCCUUUGGUUCGGAAUAACAGUUGGAGACGACUGCUAAUACCGGAUGAUGACGAAAGUCCAAAGAUUUAUCGCCAGAGGAUGAGCCCGCGUAGGAUUAGCUAGUUGGUGUGGUAAAGGCGCACCAAGGCGGCGAUCCUUAGCUGGUCUGAGAGGAUGAUCAGCCACACUGGGACUGAGACACGGCCCAGACUCCUACGGGAGGCAGCAGUGGGGAAUAUUGGACAAUGGGCGAAAGCCUGAUCCAGCAAUGCCGCGUGAGUGAUGAAGGCCUUAGGGUUGUAAAGCUCUUUUACCCGGGAUGAUAAUGACAGUACCGGGAGAAUAAGCUCCGGCUAACUCCGUGCCAGCAGCCGCAGUAA
rnacentral:rRNA from 1 species